AACGGCCGUACCAUGCUGAAUAUACCGGUUCUCGUUAGAUCACCGAAGUUAAGCAUCAUUGGGCGCGGUCAGUACUUGGGUGGGUGACCACCUGCGU
rnacentral:rRNA from 1 species